rnacentral:rRNA from 1 species
UACGUAGGUGGCAAGCGUUAUCCGGAUUUAUUGGGUGUAAAGGGCGUGUAGGCGGGAGCGCAAGUCAGAUGUGAAAACUCAGGGCUCAACCCUGAGCCUGCAUUUGAAACUGUGUUUCUUGAGUGCUGGAGAGGCAAUCGGAAUUCCGUGUGUAGCGGUGAAAUGCGUAGAUAUACGGAGGAACGCCAGUGGCGAAGGCGGAUUGCUGGACAGUAACUGACGCUGAGGCGCGAAAGCGUGGGGAGCAAACAGG